CAGGGAGAGGCCACGUGAGAGCGUGAGCCCCACCCUCACACCAAGUGUGGCCGUCCACACCUGUGAGAAGUGGGGGCGGGCCCGGGGAGAUGCAUAAACACUAGCACCUGAGGGAAUGCAGCCCUGGCAGGUAAGACACGCUCGUCAGCAGGUCUGGCACACAAUGGCUCGGGCUCGGGGGCUGGGACCCCGUGGGACCCAAAGCUCCCUCACCCAAGCAGAGGCACAGAGGAAGGAUUCUGGAACCAAGGCAGGUGGAAGGACAGGAGGAGCUAAAGGGGCCCUGUGGGAGGGCUGGCCAAUGUGGCCCUGGGACGCCCAGGGACAGGGAUGUUCAGAGUCCCCAGGCUCACCUGCCGGGCUCUGGGUGUGGAGAAGAAGCCUCCAGAAGUGUGGGCCACCCCUUGCUGGACGCUGGCAUAGCGAAGCCAGUCCACCAGCCGCUUGUUGAGCAGAGCACAGGUGGACCGGGAAGUGGCGACUUGCAUCAAUGUGCGAGAGACAAGUUAUUUCGCUCUGAAAACAUCUGGAAAAGGACCGUCCAGUUCUGAAAGGCUGCUGCUCUACUAGCCUCGUUCUCUCCGUGACAUCACCUCUUACCUGCGUUGGAAUGGCCUUCACAGGGCCCUGCUGCUUCCCUAGGAAUAAGUUGGCAGAGACGAUGAGGAAGAGCCUUUGCAGGGCGUCUGCGGCCUCGGGCCCCAGCUCCUCCUCCUGCAGCAGCUUAACGAUCCGGGAGCAGAACUUCGUCAGCUCCUCGGCCUGGAUCUCCCUGAGCAGAGAACGAGAGAUUAAAAAAGAAGAAGAAAAAGAAGGAGACGAACAAUCUGGGCCAGCUAACACAGAAGGUCAGAGGCGAUGAGCGUAAGAGGCCGCGGACACAGUUUAACAUCCUUCACGCCGGGUAACCUCUUGCUGGGAACACCCACCCGAGUCAAGGCCCUCGUGCAGUGUGGCCAGGUUGCGUGGCACUCAGGGUGACAGGUCACCACGCGCCUUGGGACUCUGGGAGGCAGCUCCGAGGAGCCAGCCCUGUUACUGCAGCAACAGAAAACGUGCAACGUGCCAGACGGCCGAACAGCAACCAGGCACGUGGCCCCUCUACACAGUCACAUCCCCCUGGGCCUGGCUUCCCGGCGAGUACUUCCGACUGUUUCUGACAUGGAGUAAACCACCAAUAAAUAUUUACAUGAAUCACAUGAGCAAACUAUUCCAGGAGAGAUUCCCGAAUAAAGAAUAAGCCAGAAUUCUUCCAAUUAUCA